AUUGAACGCUGGCGGCAGGCCUAACACAUGAAAGUCGAACGAGUGGCGGACGGGUGAGUAAUGUCUGGGAAACUGCCCGAUGGAGGGGGAUAACAACUGGAAACGGUAGCUAAUACCGCAUACCAUCGGGUGGGCCCAGAUGGGAUUAGCUAGUAGGUGGGGUAAAGGCUCACCUAGGCGACGAUCCCUAGCUGGUCUGAGAGGAUGACCAUCCACACUGGAACUGCUACCCGGUCCAGACUCCUACGGUAGGCAGCAGUGGGGAAUAUUGCACAAUGGGCGCAAGCCUGAUGCAGCCAUGCCGCGUGUAUGAAGAAGGCCUUCGGGUUGUAAAGUACUUUCAGCGGGGAGGCGUUACCCGCAGAAGAAGCACCGGCUAACUCCGUGCCAGCAGCCGCGGUAAUAC
rnacentral:rRNA from 1 species